GUGCAGCAGGCGAGAAUCUUCCACAAUGGACGAAAGUCUGAUGGAGCGACGCCGCGUGCGGGAUGAAGGCCUUAUGGGUUGUAAACCGCUGUCAGGGGGGAAGAACAUCGGAAUGAACAAUACUCAUUCCGACUGACGUUACCCCCAGAGGAAGCUCCGGCCAACUCCGUGCCAGCAGCCGCGGUAAUACGGGGGAGCAAGCGUUGUCCGGAAUUAUUGGGCGUAAAGGGCGUGUAGGCGGCGAGGUAAGUCGAAUGUGAAAUCUCACGGCUCAACCGUGAAACUGCGUUCGAAAACUCCCUGCUUGAGUACGGGAGAGGUGUACGGGAUUCCUGGUGUAGCGGUGGAAUGCGUAGAUAUCG
rnacentral:rRNA from 1 species